UCCCUUAAAAGCCAGAGGGAUGUUCGGUGUUCAUGUCUCAGGAAUGUGAGGUCUGGCUGUGAGCAAGGAAACCUGAUUCUGAACCCAUCCCGCAAGUCCUUGACGCUGAUGUCACAGUGGGACUCCCAGGGGACGCUGAUGUCACAAUGGGACUCCCCGGGGGGCCGAGUGCUCCUCCUGGGGGCCGGACGGCUGGGGCUGGGGCGUCUGGGUCCCGGGAGGCUGAGCCCUGGUCAGCCCCCAAGCAGCUCCAUGCAGGUUCCCUGAGAGGAAGCGGAGUCUCCCUGGCUGAGCUGCCAGGCCACAGGCGAGUCCGCCCCACAUCCUUCCAUUCCCGUGGGAACAGAGAGGGUGCCCUGCGGUGACGUUUUCACAGCUCCUCUGCGUGUGACCAAGGAACCGUGCAUCUCCAGGGGCCCAGAAGCCUCCUGCAGCCCCCUCUUGGACAUCACCAUCCUCAGACGGAAGGACUCUUCUGACACAGCAUCACCUUACCCGAGUCAUUUGUCAACAUUUCGAGAAUCCUCUGUGUUGCUCUUUCGGAGGCUCAAGAAGUAAUCCCCCCAACGUCACUUGGUUAUGAACUGGAGCAGGAUUCAAACUCAAGACUCUCCCAACCCCUCCCAAUCCUUCCAUCUCCUGGCCCAGGGCCCCGAAAGAUGGUUGGAGACUCUGGUUCCCAUCCGGCACACUGGGCGGCAGGGAGCCCUUGCCGGAGUUCUCUGCAUCUCCUGGGGAGCUGUUUUUUUCUGUCAGCGGCUGCCCAGGUUCCCAGGACAGCUCCUGGCCAGAUGGGGAGAAGCAGCAGCAGCCCGCCAUCCUGUGCCCAAGGUGCGCGAGAGGAGCAAGAUGCAGAAAGCUCUUUUACAGAAAAGCGUCUCGUGUGUAUUUGAGCUGAGAACACUUCAUCCAGCAGAAAGCAACAGAUUCAGGGCUGGAAAGACGGAGAAGACAGGGUGCGGCCGGAACAGGGAGUGAGACAGUUUCUCUUGUAUGAGUUAUAACGCUACGCCUAGGAGCUCGAAGCCUCCACAUUGUUGCCAACUUGGAAAUGAAGUUUGUCAAACCAUGGGUCCGUUCGUAGAAGGCAGAACUAACUCUGAGGGGACUAUGUCCAGUGUUGUCUUUUUUUUUUUUUUAAGUUCAAAUUACAAAAAUAUGUGAAGAAUACUAAUACUGUAAGAGAGCAAAAGCGGGUGUGU